GGGAAGGUGGCUCAGUGGUAGAGUGCUUGCCUUGCAUGCAUGAGGCCUGGAUUCCAGCCUCA
rnacentral:tRNA from 1 species